GACGAACGCUGGCGGCGUGCCUAAUACAUGCAAGUCGAGCGCAGGAAGCCGUUCUGAACCCUUCGGGGGGACGACGGUGGAAUGAGCGGCGGACGGGUGAGUAACACGUAAGGAACCUGCCCAUAGGUCUGGGAUAACCACGAGAAAUCGGGGCUAAUACCGGAUGUGUCAUCGGACCGCAUGGUCCGCUGAUGAAAGGCGCUCCGGCGUCGCCCAUGGAUGGCUUUGCGGUGCAUUAGCUAGUUGGUGGGGUAAUGGCCCACCAAGGCGACGAUGCAUAGCCGACCUGAGAGGGUGAUCGGCCACACUGGGACUGAGACACGGCCCAGACUCCUACGGGAGGCAGCAGUAGGGAAUCUUCCACAAUGGACGAAAGUCUGAUGGAGCAACGCCGCGUGAACGAUGAAGGCUUUCGGGUCGUAAAGUUCUGUUGUAAGGGAAGAACAAGUGCCGCAGGCAAUGGCGGCACCUUGACGGUACCUUGCGAGAAAGCCACGGCUAACUACGUGCCAGCCGCCGCAGUAAGAC
rnacentral:rRNA from 1 species